UCACCUACGGGUGGCAGCAGUAGGGAAUCUUCCGCAAUGGACGAAAGUCUGACGGAGCAACGCCGCGUGAGUGAUGAAGGCUUUCGGGUCGUAAAACUCUGUUGUUAGGGAAGAACAAGUGCUAGUUGAAUAAGCUGGCACCUUGACGGUACCUAACCAGAAAGCCACGGCUAACUACGUGCCAGCAGCCGCGGUAAUACGUAGGUGGCAAGCGUUAUCCGGAAUUAUUGGGCGUAAAGCGCGCGCAGGUGGUUUCUUAAGUCUGAUGUGAAAGCCCACGGCUCAACCGUGGAGGGUCAUUGGAAACUGGGAGACUUGAGUGCAGAAGAGGAAAGUGGAAUUCCAUGUGUAGCGGUGAAAUGCGUAGAGAUAUGGAGGAACACCAGUGGCGAAGGCGACUUUCUGGUCUGUAACUGACACUGAGGCGCGAAAGCGUGGGGAGCAAACAGGAUUAGAUACCCCGGUAGUCC
rnacentral:rRNA from 1 species